rnacentral:tRNA from 1 species
GGCGAAGUAGCUCAGUUGGUUAGAGCGUACGACUCAUAAUCGUAAGGUCGCGAGUUCAACUCUCGCCUUCGCUA